rnacentral:rRNA from 1 species
UUAACACAUGCAAGUCGAACGAAGUGGCGGACGGGUGAGUAACGCGUGGAUAACCUGCCUCACACAGGGGGAUAACAGUUGGAAACGACUGCUAAUACCGCAUAGUGUGAGAUGGAUCCGCGUCUGAUUAGCUAGUUGGCGGGGUAACGGCCCACCAAGGCGACGAUCAGUAGCCGGCCUGAGAGGGCGACCGGCCACAUUGGGACUGAGACACGGCCCAGACUCCUACGGGAGGCAGCAGUGGGGAAUAUUGCACAAUGGGGGAAACCCUGAUGCAGCGACGCCGCGUGAGCGAUGAAGUAUUUCGGUAUGUAAAGCUCUAUCAGCAGGGAAGCGGUACCUGACUAAGAAGCUCCGGCUAAAUACGUGCCAGCAGCCGCGGUAAUACGUAUGGAGCAAGCGUUAUCCGGAUUUACUGGGUGUAAAGGGAGCGUAGGCGGUCCUGCAAGUCUGAUGUGAAAGGCCGGGGCUCAACCCCGGGACUGCAUUGGAAACUGUAGGACUAGAGUGUCGGAGGGGUAAGUGGAAUUCCUAGUGUAGCGGUGAAAUGCGUAGAUAUUAGGAGGAACACCAGUGGCG